rnacentral:rRNA from 1 species
GUCUACGGCCAUACCACCCUGAACGCGCCCGAUCUCGUCUGAUCUCGGAAGCUAAGCAGGGUCGGGCCUGGUUAGUACUUGGAUGGGAGAAAUACAAAGCAACAUUGAUG